rnacentral:rRNA from 1 species
GACGAACGCUGGCGGCGUGCUUAACACAUGCAAGUCGAACGGAAAGGCCUGCUUUCCCUUGUGGAUUGCGGGUACUCGAGUGGCGAACGGGUGAGUAUCACGUGAGUGAUCUGCCCCCAACUUGGGUAUAAGCCUGGGAAACUGGGUCUAAUUCCCGAUAGGACUGCAGGGUGGUGCCUGUGGUGGAAAACGAUUUUCUAGUGGUUGGGGAUGAGCUCGCGGCCUAUCAGCUUGUUGGUGGGGUAAUGGCCUACCAAGGCGGCGACGGGUAGCCGGCCUGGGAGGGUGGACGGCCACAUUGGGACUGAGAUACGGCCCAGACUCCUACGGGAGGCAGCAGUGGGGAAUAGUGCACAAUGGGCGGAAGCCUGAUGCAGCGACGCCGCGUGGGGGAUGACGGCCUUCGGGUUGUAAACUCCUUUCGACCGCGAGGAAGCCACCUGGUUGGAAGGGUGGUGACGGUAGUGGUAGAAGAAGCACCGGCUAACUACGUG